AUCCUUUUGCUUUUCAUAAGCAUGAUGAUCAAGUGUUCACAAGUCUAAUAACAUGUGACUCCCUAAAAUCCUAUUCCAACAUUGACAUAGCACCCAUCAGAUU
ensembl:snoRNA